CCCCAAAAAAAAUGUCGUCAAUCAACGCCAAAUCGGAGUUUUGGGAGAUGAAGUGUAGAGGGUUCCGUCGACAGAGAGACGGUGGUGACUCACUCAACCACCGGUGAGGGCAACCUUUCUAGCAACGAUUAGGUGUCUCGAAGUGGUUCACGACGGUGCUUAGGGUUCCGGCGUCCCUGUCUCUAUAUUAAGAUUUGGGAAGUUAUGAACAGUUGAGAGUGAAUCGGAUCAACAACCCGUCUCUCUGAAGGUGAGAGUAAACGGAGGAAGAUGGAGCUUGUGUUAGGGCUGAAUACGUUUUUUUACGUCUCUAAAAGUGCCAAUGACGGACGCAUGUUCGUCGUUGAAUGCUGAUCACUCCGACUUCGUCGUCUUUUGGUCUCAGGUGUUCGAGGUACGGCGUUAAUUUGUCGUCGGAGGCAGUUUUGAGUAUAGUUUGACUGUUAAUUUUUAGCUGUUAAUGGUUAUUUGUUAGUUGUUAGUUGUUAGUUGUUAGUUGUUAAUUGUUAGUUGUUAAUAUUACUGUCAUGUGUUUAAUUGAAACUUAUAGAUUGUUUGUGAUUAGGUAUAGAUAUGUAGAUCGACCGAUCAAGGAAUUAAUGAUUUACAUCUCUAUUCUUUUAUCUUUCCGAUUCUCAGCACCGGCAACCACCAGCCCCUCCCUAGCGUCACCAGUAAGGUCCCUUCCAAGGUUAUUCAAUACUGUAAGAAACAUGUGGAGUCGACCAAGAAAGACGAGAAAGCUGCUGAAAGCUUUUGAUUCUGAGUUUGUCAAAGUGGAUCAAACCACUUUUUUUGACCUAAUUCUGGUAAAAAUUUGGCUGAUUUUAUUUAUUGUUGUUUGACUUUUUUUAUUUCUUUUUUUGUGAAAAAUGUCCAAGGUUUGGUUUGUGAUAUUUAGGAUAUGUUCUGUUUGUUAAUUUUUGAACUAUUUGAGUUGGUGUUGUGUGCUCUAUUUUGUAGUUUUAGGGAUAUCAUAUGAUAUCAUAUAAAUGGGUGUUUCGAUGUAUAAUGUAUAAGGGGUGUUUGGAUGUGCAGUAUUUUUAGAGGUUAUCUUUUUAUUCGGAUAUUAUUAGUAAUGGUCUAUCUUGACGAAAGAAGGAAAUUGCAUCAUGGACAGCUAAUAAAAAAGCGAAUUUGUGUACAUGCAUUGACCCUAGAAUAAUCCUUCAUCUAGCUGGAAGUGUGACAAAGCUAAAGAUCUAUGGUUAAGUUUAACUGAUGGUAUGAUUGUGUGUAGGCGGAAACUUCGUGAUGACAGGUGGUAAUAACCAUGCCAUUGAACAAGAGGGGAAUAACAUUAGACAUAAGGGUAAAAUAAUAAAUACGAGUAUGUGGAUCUUUUAUUUAUUAUAAAUUUGUUUAUUUUUUAUGACUUACGAGGUGACAUAUUGACCGGUUUUUAUCGUUUAUCAUUUUAUAUUUUAAUGGUCUCUUUUGUAUGGUAUAAGAAAAAAUAAAAGUGAUGGGUGUUUUCUCGAAAUUUUGACACUUUCUUUGUUUUUAAGCGUCGAUCUGAGAUACUUUCACUGGCGAAAUCAUUUAUUCCAUUGGACAACGGAGGAAUAAGGAAUCGGGUUUGAACUAACGAAUUUAUUUCAUAGUCAUUAGUUUUAUUAAAAUAUUGGUAUCUUUAUGUAUGGUUGUGAUGAUUGAAUGGUAUUUCAGUCAAAAUUGGGUUAGUAUCUAAGAUUUGAAUGACAUUAUCAAAGGUUGCCGAGUUGUGAAGGAUGCUGAAAUCCAGAAGGGAUGAUAAUCAAUUUUUUGAAAAGAAUAAUGGGGACGUUUUAUUCUUCAUGAUGGCGCUCCAUAUGCUAAUGGUGAUUUACACAUUGGACAUGCAUUAAACAAGAUUAUAAAGGAUAUUAUUAACCAGUAUAAGGCAUUGUUGCAACACUCACUUUGUUCUGUUAUAUAUGAGAUAGGGUGACAAAAGGAUCUGCUUCAUUUGAUCCAUGUGUAUAGAGGUAUAAAUACUGUGAAUUUGAUGAAUGUGUCACUUAACUUUUAUUACUUUCCCCCUUUUUAUA